GGUCCCGCAUCAGCACCGCUUCCGUGAAGACGGCGCAGCUGGGAGUCCGGCUACCCAGCCUGCCCGGCAGGAACUGCUUUGCAGGUGCAGAUGCUGGUUUCAUGCUGAGAACUUUACAUGGAUUGUUUCAUUUCAUCCUCACCGAACCCGUGAAGAAGACAAUACUUUUGCCCCCCACCACCCCUUUUUUAAAGAUGAGGAAACUGAGGCUCAAACUGAGGUUCAAAGAGCGUUGCCCAAGGUUCUGCAGGGAGCAGCCUGGCCCCAGCGCCCGCCCACACCCUUAAUCACUGGGUUCUAUAUCCUCCUGACAAGGGAGGAAUGACAGGCGAGGACAGGUUUGGCCGUGGUGUGUUUCAGAGCCUGGACUCUGGAGACUGAUGGUGUGUCCUGGUUGAAGUCCCCUAAACUCAGAGUCUUCUCUUGUUCUGUCAGCUGUACAGUGGGGGAAAUAAUACUUCAUAGGGUUGUUUGGAGGAAUAAAUAAGGUAAUAAAUGAUUCCCUGUGCUCUGUGAAGCCUUGUUACUAAAAUAUGACCUAGAAGUCAGGAGACCCAACUCCUUCCCAAGAACGUUGAGGACGAACUUGAAUUUACUGUCUCUGUGUUCCCAACACUUAGCAAGAUCUGCAACUUAUUGUGUGAACUGAGCCUCAGUUUCUCUAUAAAGUGGGAAUGAAAAUAUAACUAUCUCGGCCGGGCGCGGUGGCUCACGCCUGUAAUCCCAGCACUUUGGGAGGCUGAGGCGGGUGGAUCACCUGAGGUCAAAAGUUUGAGACCAGCCUGGCCAAUAUGGUGAAACCCCAUAUCUACUAAAAAUACAAAAAUUAGCCAGGUGUGAUGGCCGGUGCCUGUAGUCCCAGCUACUCCGGAGGCUGAGACAGGAGAAUUGCUUGAACCUGGGAGGCAGAGGUGGCAGUGAGCCGAGAUCGUGCCACUUCACUCCAGCCUGGGUGACAGAGCGAGACUCCAUCUCAAAAAAAAGAAGAAAAGAAAAUAUAACUAUCUCAUAGAGUGUGUUGUGAGGCUUAAAUGAGUUAAUAUAUGUGAAGUGAUUCAAACUGUGUCUGGCAUAGAGUCAAUGCUAUGUCAGUAUUAGAUAUUAUUAGCUACUAAAUAUAAUGAAUGUCCAAUAUAUAGCAUAUAUAUAGCACUCUGAAAUGUUGUGUCUUUGUUUUUUAGUUUUAUCAUUGUAGGCCCUCAGUAAUUGAGCAAAGAAUAAAAGAAAUGCAUGUUAUUUGUUGGCUGCAAGAUCUUGGGCAGGCUUUAAUCUCUGAGCCUUAAUUUACUUAUCUUCAAAAUGGGAAUGAGAGCAUUAUUCAAGAAACAUUCACCCAGCACUUACUUUCUUCCAGUGUUUGCAUGCCAGGGAUACCAAGAAGAGUGACAGAAUCUGUGCUCGAG
rnacentral:lncRNA from 10 species